GGCCCCAGGGCAGGUAUUAGUUCCAGAACAGACUGAGGAAUUUGAGUCUGAGGAUAAGGGUGAGAAAUCGCCUAGUUCACCCAAGUCUGUAAAGUCAGAAUCUUCUAGUUCUAAAAGUUCACCUGUACAGCAAGAGAGACGUGUAAAGUCAGAAUCAGAAAGUUCUACAACUACUAGUGACAAACAGGUGACGACUAGUGAUUCUGGGUCAGAGGGGGAAACUGAAGGAACAUCGCAGGAACUGUUAAGGCGUUCUACGCGUACCAACAAAGGUAAACCCACUGAAAGGUACCAAGCUAUUAGUGUUUGGGCUGGUUUGGCAAAUUGCGAACCUGAAAGUUUUGAGGAGGUUGAACAAUUACCCCAGGAGGAGGCCAAUAGGUGGCGUGAGGCCAUGCAAAAGGAGUUGAAUUCUAUGAAAGAACUGGGUGUGUUUUCCAUCACCAAACUGCCAGAAGGUACCAAAGCAGUAAGUUGUAGGUGGGUGUACAGGAUAAAGACAACAGCGAUGGGGAAACCAGAGUACAAAGCAAGGCUUGUAGCUCGAGGUUUUACGCAAAGAAAGGGGUUACAUUAUUCCGAAGUCUAUGCACCCACUUCAAGGAGUGAAACCCUACGGGCACUAUUAGCAGUUGCUGCUCAGAAAGGGUUCAAAGUGAAUCAAUUUGAUGUCUCUACAGCUUAUCUUCAUUCAGACUUGGCUGAAGAGCUCUAUAUGGAGCUACCGCCAGGAUUGAAAGUUGGUAAAUCAAAUCAGGUAUGGAAACUACAUAAAUCUAUUUAUGGACUCAAGCAAUCUGCUCAUAAUUGGAAUGAAUGUUUGAAUGACGUUUUGGUAGGCAUUGGUUUUAGCAGGAGCAAGGCUGACAAUUGCUUAUAUUUCAGAAGUUCAGGAGAUGCUCAAGAAUCUUUGCUUGUUUAUGUAGAUGACCUGAUUUAUACUUCAAAGACACAAGAACAAGUAAAAAAACUAGCCAAAGAGUUAAAUAAACACUUCAAAGUUAAGAAUCUUGGUGAUGUGAAGGUCUAUCUUGGUGUUCAGAUAGAUAGGACCAAAAAUGGCAGUUUUCUACUGAAUCAAAAAGGCAAGAUAUUGCAAAUGUUGAAAAAGUUUAACAUGACGGAGUGUGCAGGUGUUAGAACACCAAUGGAAAUGGGUUUUGUAAAAGACAAUGAGUUCAAGGAUAGUGCUGAAUUCAAGCGUGCUGAAAUCUUUCAGUCAGCACUGGGAAGCUUACUUCAUCUUUCGCAAUGGAGUAGACCAGAUAUUGCUUACGCUGUUAACUUACUCAGCAGAGAAGCUUCGAAACCUAGUGUAAAUGCAUGGAAAGGAAUUCAAAGAGUGUUAAGAUAUUUACAAUACACCAAAGAUUUUUGCCUUGAAUUGUUUUCGGAAGGACAAGCACAGAUUACUUGUUGGGCAGAUAGUGAUUGGGCAAAUUUAAAGGAUAGAAAAUCAGUGUCUGGCUGUGUAAUAAAAUUUGGUAACUCUCUGAUUGGGUGGAGAUCCAAGAAACAGAACCUAAUUGCUUUGUCGUCAACAGAAGCUGAGUUCUGUGCCUUAUCUGAGUUAUGUAGAGAUCUAGAAUUUUACAAAUGCUUGGCACAAGAGAUGUAUGAAAAGGCCAUCACUCCAAUCACUGUGUGGGGUGAUAAUCAACCGUGUCUUAAGUUAGCACAAAAUGGGCAGUUUAAAGGUCGUACAAAACAUUUGGAUAUCCGCUUUCAAAAUGUUUGUCAAACGGUAAAAGCAGGAAUUGUUAAAUUAAAUUACUGUCCCAGUCAUGAAAAUCAAGCUGAUGGUUUUACAAAACCACUUGGGUUUCAGCGGCAUGAAAACUUUUGUGAAGAAAUGGGUCUGAAGUAAUUUUGGUUUUUUUUGUAUUGCCAGCGAGAGGGGGUGUUAGGGUGUGAAACCUAAGACGCUGGCAAGUUAGCAAUGUCAUGUGACUUUAAGUAGUCAAGCUCGUUAAGUUGUUAAGUUGCUCAGUAUAUAAAGUGUGUUUGUUUUCUCUGCCUGUGGGGCGUGAAGCAAAAAUGUCUGAAAGCUCCGGAGGUAUUUCUGUUAUCUUUCUGCAAUAAACCUGUCUUUGGAAAGACAGGCUUCCCUGUGUCGUUAUUUCUUUGCUGCUGAGACUCUGAAGCUUGUACUGCAACAAGAAUCUCUGCACUGGACUUAAUUAAUACUCUGCAAAGAGAGCUGUUGCUGGUGGCGCAGCGGAAGCGUUUACUGGACCAGUACACAAACUCUCUUAUAU